UACGUAGGGGGCUAGCGUUGUCCGGAUUUAUUGGGCGUAAAGAGCGUGUAGGCGGCCAGGUAGGUCUGCUGUGAAAACUCGAGGCUCAACCUCGAGAUGUCGGCGGAAACCAUCUGGCUAGAGUCCGGAAGAGGAAAGUGGAAUUCCUGGGUGUAGCGGUGAAAUGCGCAGAUAUCAGGAAGAACACCCGUGGCGAAGGCGGCUUUCUGGGACGGUACUGACGCUGAGACGCGAAAGCGUGGGGAGCGAACAGG
rnacentral:rRNA from 1 species